UACGGGGGGGGCGAGCGUUGUUCGGAAUUACUGGGCGUAAAGGGCUCGUAGGUGGCCAACUAAGUCAGACGUGAAAUCCCUCGGCUUAACCGGGGAACUGCGUCUGAUACUGGAUGGCUUGAGUUCGGGAGAGGGAUGCGGAAUUCCAGGUGUAGCGGUGAAAUGCGUAGAUAUCUGGAGGAACACCGGUGGCGAAGGCGGCAUCCUGGACCGCCACUGACACUGAGGAGCGAAAGCCAGGGGAGCAAACGGG
rnacentral:rRNA from 1 species